UACGUAGGGUGCGAGCGUUAAUCGGAAUUACUGGGCGUAAAGCGUGCGCAGGCGGUUCGUUAAGUUCGAUGUGAAAGCCCCGGGCUCAACCUGGGAAUUGCGGUUGAAACUGGCGAACUAGAAUCUGGCAGAGGGGGGUGGAAUUCCACGUGUAGCAGUGAAAUGCGUAGAGAUGUGGAGGAACACCGAUGGCGAAGGCAGCCCCCUGGGCUGAGAUUGACGCUCAGGCACGAAAGCGUGGGGAGCAAACAGG
rnacentral:rRNA from 1 species